UAUGCAAUCGACUGACUAAUUAUCGGUCAUUACGCGGUGCCGGUGGCGCGUUCCUGGUUGCGUCAGUAGCCCAUUUGCACGCUGGCUCGCGAAUAAAGGAGAAAUUUCAAUGAAGAACCGUGGAAAGAAGAGGUUUCGAGGUCACACGGAGUAUACACAAUUUUAUGAACGAAACGGAGGACCUUUGAAGGAUUCUCGCAGGAAACUUUUCGUGUUACGAAACUUUUCUGCGGACAACCGAGGAUAUAAAUAGAAUGUAUGGAAGAAAUGUUGUUCGAUUGGUAUUAUGCAAUAGGUAUCAAGGCCAAAGAUCGGAUGAAUGGGAUUAACUUUUGUGACCGAAUGUAAAUUUCAACAUUUACAUGCAUACAAGUACAUAUAUUGCAAUAAAAAGUGUUGUUCGAAAAAGUU